rnacentral:rRNA from 1 species
GAUGAACGCUGGCGGCGUGCCUAAUACAUGCCAGUCGAGCGAACAGACGAGGAGCUUGCUCCUCUGACGUUAGCGGCGGACGGGUGAGUAACACGUGGAUAACCUACCUAUAAGACUGGGAUAACUUCGGGAAACCGGAGCUAAUACCGGAUAAUAUAUUGAACCGCAUGGUUCAAUAGUGAAAGACGGUUUUGCUGUCACUUAUAAAUGGAUCCGCGCCGCAUUAGCUAGUUGGUAAGGUAACGGCUUACCAAGGCAACGAUGCGUAGCCGACCUGAGAGGGUGAUCGGCCACACUGGAACUGAGACACGGUCCAGACUCCUACGGGAGGCAGCAGUAGGGAAUCUUCCGCAAUGGGCGAAAGCUUGACGGAGCAACGCCGCGUGAGUGAUGAAGGUCUUCGGAUCGUAAAACUCUGUUAUUAGGGAAGAACAAAUGUGUAAGUAACUAUGCACGUCUUGACGGUACCUAAUCAGAAAGCCACGGCUAACUACGUG